rnacentral:tRNA from 1 species
GCCUGGGUGGCUCAGUGGUUGAGCAUCUGCCUUUGACUCAGGAUGUGAUCCCGGAGUCCCGGGAUUGAGUCCCGCAUCAGGCU